AUUAAACUGAUGGAGUGACGGAGAAGGCUAAGUUGAGCGUGUUAAUGGAUUCACGUGUAAGCAGUGAGGUGGUCAUGUAGGCAAAUCCGCAUGGCAUAACAUUGAGCUGUGAUGCCGAAGCCGUAUGGCGAAGUUAACUGAUGUCACGCUUCCAAGAAAAGCUUCUAGGGUUAAUUUAGUAAGUGCCCGUACCGAUAACCGACACAGGUAGGCGAGGAGAGAAUCCUAAGAUGAGCGAGAGAACUCUUGUUAAGGAACUCGGCAAAAUGACCCCGUAACUUCGGGAGAAGGGGUGCUUGUGAAAGCAAGCCGCAGUGAAUAGGCCCAGGCGACUGUUUAUCAAAAACACAGGUCUCUGCUAAACCGCAAGGUGAUGUAUAGGGGCUGACGCCUGCCCGGUGCUGGAAGAUUAAGAGGAGAGGUUAGCGCAAGCGAAGCUUUGAAUUGAAGCCCCAGUAAACGGCGGCCGUAACGAUAACGGUCCUAAGGUAGCGAAAUUCCUUGUCGGGUAAGUUCCGACCCGCACGAAAGGCGUAACGAUCUGGGCGCUGUCUCAACAAGAGACUCGGUGAAAUCGUAGUACCUGUGAAGAUGCAGGUUACCCGCGACAGGACGGAAAGACCCCGUGGAGCUUUACUGUAGCUUGAUAUUGAGCACUGGUGACACAUGUACAGGAUAGGUAGGAGACGAAGAAGCCAGGACGCCAGUCUUGGUGGAGUCGCUGUUGGGAUACUACCCUUGUGUUACUGGGGUUCUAACCCGUGGCCAUGAUCUGGUCAGGGAACAGUGUCAGGUGGGCAGUUUGACUGGGGCGGUCGCCUCCCAAAGAGUAACGGAGGCGCCCAAAGGUUCCCUCAGAAUGGUUGGAAAUCAUUCGAAGAGUGUAAAGGCAGAAGGGAGCUUGACUGCGAGACCUACAAGUCGAGCAGGGACGAAAGUCGGGCUUAGUGAUCCGGCGGUACCGAAUGGAAGGGCCGUCGCUCAACGGAUAAAAGCUACCCCGGGGAUAACAGGCUGAUCUCCCCCAAGAGUUCACAUCGACGGGGAGGUUUGGCACCUCGAUGUCGGUUCAUCGCAUCCUGGGGCUGUAGUCGGUCCCAAGGGUUGGGCUGUUCGCCCAUUAAAGCGGUACGCGAGCUGGGUUCAGAACGUCGUGAGACAGUUCGGUCCCUAUCCGUCGUGGGCGUAGGAAAUUUGAGAGGAGCUGUCCUUAGUACGAGAGGACCGGGAUGGACACACCGCUGGUGUACCAGUUGUUCUGCCAGGAGCAUAGCUGGGUAGCUACGUGUGGACGGGAUAAACGCUGAAAGCAUCUAAGCGUGAAGCCCCCCUCAAGAUGAGAUUUCCCAUUCGAAAGAAGUAAGAUCCCUUGAAGACGACAAGGUAGAUAGGUCAGAAGUGGAAGUGUGGUGACACAUGGAGCGGACUGAUACUAAUCGAUCGAGGACUAAACCGA
rnacentral:rRNA from 1 species